CAUUUGGCAACCACGUUGGUUCCCUCUACUCGCUUUCCCAGCAGGUUGCCGAGCUGCGGACUUCCAAACGACACUUGGCUGUGACGAGGUGAUAGUGUCGUACGCGUCGUUACUUUUGUCGAGUUUGAUUUGGAAUGUGUUUUUCGUAGUGUUUUGUAGCACGUUAACGUUCAGAGGGACGGGGGGUUAAAAAAAAAACAACAACACGGAAAAUAAGUUUGUGUGUAUUGCCACCUAAGCUUUCCCGCCCUUAUGGAGGAAAGGAAGACUUCAGUGAAGAUGGUUUGGGGAUAGAUUUAUGGCGUUCGACUUGGACCUGGAACGGAUUAAGCUGCAUGUGGUGUACCUGGUGAAUUUGCUCCCAUGUGCAUGAUCAUUGCAUGGACAAUCAAUCAUUAUGACUGCUUGAAAAGAGUGCGAUGCUCCACUGUUACCCAAAGGACAAAAAUAUGGAGAGCAUUGACUUUUAUGAAAGACAUGAGAAGAAUAUCUGGGUAAUAAUAAUCCACGUACUGCUGAUGAAUGCAUUCUUCUACUUAAGCCUCUGCUGAACAGAAAUGCUGUAUAGCCUGUAUGUGAUUUUUUUUAAUAAGUGAACUUGUGAUAAGUACCCCGAUUUAUUUGUAUGAUUAUAGUGCACAUUGCAUACUUUUUGGAUUUAUUAGACGGGUCUGUUUCCUUGUGAAUAUGUUCCGCUAAAUAAAAAGCAUCUGAAUUGCUUGUA